GUCUAUGAACAUGUCACUCUGAAUGUGCCCAAUUUCAUCUAAUCUUAGAAGCCAAGCAGGGCUGGGGCUGCUUAGUAUUUGGACGGGAGAAUAUGAAUGCAGAGUGUGAGGGAAACGGUCAAAUGGACC
ensembl:rRNA 5S_rRNA 5S ribosomal RNA